GAACGGAUAGGCCUCUUCGGAGGUACUCGAGUGCCGAACGGGUGAGUAACACGUGGGUAAUCUGCCCUGCACUUCGGGAUAAGCCUGCGAUACUGGGUCUAAUACCGGAUAGGACCUAUUGGCGCAUGCCUAUUGGUGGAUAGCUAUUGCGGUGUGGGAUGGGCCCGCGGCCUAUCAGCUUGUUGGUGCGGUGACGGCCUACCAAGGCGACGACGGGUAGCCGGCCUGAGAGGGUGUCCGGCCACACUGGGACUGAGAUACGGCCCAGACUCCUACGGGAGGCAGCAGUGCGGAAUAUUGCACAAUGGGCGCAAGCCUGAUGCAGCGACGCCGCGUGGCGGAUGACGGCCUUCGGGUUGUAAACCUCUAUCAGCAGGGACGAAGCGCAAGUGACGGUACCUGCAGAAGAAGCACCGGCCAACUACGUGCCAGCAGCCGCGGUAAUACGUAGGGUGCGAGCGUUGUCCGGAAUUACUGGGCGUAAAGAGCUCGUAGGUGGUAUGUCGCGUUGUUCGUGAUAACCGGGGGCUUAACCCUCGGCGUGCGCGCGAUACGGGCAGACUGGAGUACUGCAGGCGAGACUGGAAUUCCUGGUGUAGCGGUGGAAUGCGCAGAUAUCAGGAGGAACACCGGUGGCGAAGGCGGGUCUCUGGGCAGUAACUGACGCUGAGGAGCGAUAGCGUGGGGAGCGAACAGGAUUAGAUACCCUGGUAGUCCACGCCGUAAACGGUGGGUACUAGGUGUGGGUCUCCUUCCUUGGAAUCCGUGCCGUAGCUAACGCAUUAAGUACCCCGCCUGCGGAGUACGGCCGCAAGGCUAAAACUCAAAGGAAUUGACGGCGGCCCGCACAAGCGGCGGAGCAUGUGGAUUAAUUCGAUGCAACGCGAAGAACCUUACCUGGGUUUGACAUGCACAGGACGCCGGCAGAGAUGUCGGUUCCCUUGUGGCCUGUGUGCAGGUGGUGCAUGGCUGUCGUCAGCUCGUGUCGUGAGAUGUUGGGUUAAGUCCCGCAACGAGCGCAACCCUUGUCUCAUGUUGCCAGCGGGUAAUGCCGGGGACUCGUGAGAGACUGCCGGGGUCAACUCGGAGGAAGGUGGCGAUGACGUCAAGUCAUCAUGCCCCUUAUGUCCAGGGCUUCACACAUGC
rnacentral:rRNA from 1 species